rfam:Klebsiella pneumoniae IS43, WGS project CBWK01000000 data, contig: c314
GACCGACAUCAGCGACUCGUUCUGCGACCCAUUGCCGACGGCGAGGUAGGCGUUCAUCCCCAGCUCGCGCAUCUGCUGUUCGCCGAUCACCCGGGUGAUGACGUUUUUGCUGUAGGUAUCGGCCAGCUGACGCGCCUGAGAGGCCAGAUAGGCGGCGUUACAGAUGUUCGGCGGCAUAUUGCCAAGAUCUUUUGC